rnacentral:misc_RNA from 1 species
AACGGUCUAUACCUGCGGUACCUGCGGAGGGAUCAUUAUCGAGUAAGGGUCUUCUGGGCCCAACCUCCAACCCCUUGUAUACCCAAGCUUUUUUAAUGUUGCUUCGGUGGACUUGUAAUGUUUGCCGAAGUCUAACAAAAACUUUUAUAAUUGAUGGUGUCUGAGUAAAUUAAAAAAUUAUCAAAACUUUUAGCAACGGAUCUCU